GAAAGAUGAAAAGAACUUUGAAAAGAGAGUAAAAUAGUACGUGAAAUUGUUGAAAGGGAAACGAUUGAAGCCAGUCGUACCUAUGGGUAAUCAGCCUUUUGGGUGUGAUUUUGUGGAGCGUGAGGAGUUAAACGCCUUCAUGCCUGCAUAUUCGUGCACUUUGGGUGUACUUGCCCGUAUGGUUGGUUAACAUCAAUUUUGGUGGUCAUAAAAUGACUGGAGGAAUGUAGCUUCGAUCUCGUAUUGAAGUGUUAUA
rnacentral:rRNA from 1 species